AACGCACCUUGCGCUCCUUGGUAUUCCGAGGAGCAUGCCUGUUUGAGUGUCUUGAAGUCAUCAACACCGCACGUUUCUUGCGAGCGAGCGGAGGUUGGAUCUGGGGGCUCUGCCGCUCUACGAGUCGGCUCCCCUCAAAUGCUUCGGUUGGGCCUGUGGGUCGAACUCGACUGGGCGUUGUACCAUCCUCGCUCGAACGGGACGGACCCCUAACGUGCCGAACCUCGACCUGCCUCGCUGUGGGCGGUCAACUCAAGCCUUUGAAAUCUGACCUCAAAUCAGGUAGGACUACCCGCUGAACUUAA
rnacentral:misc_RNA from 1 species